GGGGUAUUAGCUCAGUUGGCAGAGCAGGUGACUCUUAAUCAUCAGGUCGAAGGUUCGAGCCCUUCAUGCCCCA
rnacentral:tRNA from 1 species